UACGUAGGGGCCGAGCGUUGUCCGGAUUCAUUGGGCGUAAAGAGCUCGUAGGCGGCCACUCAAGUCGAAUGUGAAACCUCGAGGCUUAACCUCGAGCCGGCAUUCGAUACUGGGCGGCUAGAGUCUGGUAGGGGGAACUGGAAUUCCUGGUGUAGCGGUGGAAUGCGCAGAUAUCAGGAGGAACACCGGUGGCGAAGGCGGGAUCCUGGGCCAGUACUGACGCUGAGGAGCGAAAGCGUGGGGAGCAAACAGG
rnacentral:rRNA from 1 species